GUUGCUUGCAAGCCUGCAAUGAGAGGCUUUAUAAGGGCGCGAGACGGCCGAUCGACUCACUGGUUACUGGUCUCAGUCUCGCUAUCAGGUCGGUCACCGCAUAAUCAUGAAGUCGUUCAUCGUUUGCAUUGCUGUAUCCUACCUUCUGGUCGCCAACAUUAAGGCGGACGAGGCAACAUCUUCAUCAGAUGCGGAGUCGCUGAUCACUUCGACGACCCUGUCUCCAGCCUCGAACGAAUCUGACGCGGCCAGGUCUGCCAUCAAGGAGCAGCUGGCCAAGCUCACUGAGAGCUGCAAAACCUCCAGCCAAGCCAAUUCUGAUGAUGCCAAAAUUAUUGGAACUGAAUCAGUACCAAAGACUGAAGGAGAAAAGUGCUUCCUGCAGUGCGUCUACACUGGAUUGGGAAUUGUGAAGAAUGAUCAAUUCUCUGUAGAAGGAGCCAGGCUUUUGGCACAGAAACGAUUUGGAGCUUUUCCCGAAGAAUUGGAGAAGGCCAAUCAACUGAUUGAAACUUGUUCAAAGGAAGGGAUCAGUGAAGAAGGAGGAUUGAAGAUGAAAAGGAGGAGAAGAAGGAAGAGAAGGGUGAGGGGAACUUUGCCGAGAGUUACAAUUACCAGGCGAGGAAUAAGAAGGAGACGGCCGUGAAGAAAGACUCCAAAGACAAGUGCCCAAUGGGCUUCCUCAUCAGACAGUGUUUCGUCAAGAACGGCCAGAAGAUAAACUUCUUUCCUAAAGCCUAACAACUUGCUCUGGAAGACAACUUAAUUACUUCUAUAAAGGAAAUCGACAGGCACAAAUGAACUUGGAAUACUUGAAUAUCUAUCGAACAAAAUUUAGUCUAGUUGAUGAAUAUAAAUAACAUCUUUAUUUUAUACGGUACUGAACUGACUGCUCAUUAUUUUUGUUAGAAGUUAUUUAUUUGUAAUAAAUAUAUGUGAUGCAUUGUUU
rnacentral:misc_RNA from 1 species